CAGUUGCUUCAGGCCAUCUGGAUGUAUACGUCAGGUCACAGGGGAUAUGAUGGCUUAGCUUGGGCUCAGAGGCCUGACAACCUCCAGAUUCAGAGUUCUUAACCUCUUUUUCCUGGAAGUUUGCUGAGGAGCCAGAUGCCUUGUGCUGACUUGUCUAUUUUGAAAGAGGCUGCAGAAACACUCGAUUCCACCUCAACCCGGAAUUCAGCUUUCUUAGGAAAGGAAAUAACCCCCGAAGCCUUUGCAACUAAGGACAUGUAUCCUUCAGACAAGUGUUUACUGGGCAACUUCUUCGUGCUGUAAUUGAGUGUGGCCGAUUGCUCACAAAGAUGUUUGCAAAAUCCCUCCUGUCCCCUAACUCACUUCUCCUUGCAGUGUCACUCUGCCAACUUCUCCUGUCGAUUGGUGAAGACUGUUUCUCCUCCCCCUUGAAUAUGGGCUGGGCUUGUAACUUGCUUGACCAAUAGAAUGCAGAGAAAUGAAAUGCAGCCUUCAACAUUCAAGGCUAUGCUCAAGGAGUCUAACCCUGUGGAUAUGCUGUUGUCAAAUGAGGGAGCUUCGAUUAGCCUGUUGAAGACACACAGACGACCCGACAGGCAAUACCAACAUUCAGAUAUGCAAGUUAUGCUGUCUUAGACCAUGCUGCCCAGGUGAACUUUUAGACGACUGCAAUUUGUGAGUGACUCUAGGCAAGACCAGAAGAAACUUCUAGCUAAAUCUAAACCAAAUGCCAACUCAGAAUUGUAAGCAAAUAAAACGGUUGUUGUUUAAAGACACUAACUUUUGGGGUGUUUUGCCACACCUCAAUACAUAACUGUUACACUAAUUAUUUUUCAUUGUGAAAUCUUCAGCGUCUUAUUCUGUAAUCAAACCAGAAUGUCCUUGCCUUCUUAGCACUUUGCCACAGUCCAGUGGGGUGAAUAGACAGCAGCUGCUCAUUUAUGCUCAUGCUCAUGUUCAUAAUUUGCAUUUGGACUAAAAGGAGCUCUGUUCUCCAGGACAGAACUAUUCUAAAGCUCUUCAGGAACAGGAACAGGAGUCCAUCACAGACAGCGAAAUCAAAAGCGCCCUACAUAGAGGCAUCCAGACUGAGAGCUGAAAGGGAUCUGGGAAAUCAUUUAGUCUCACUCCCUCAUUUUCCAUUCAGACCACAGGGAUGAAAGAACUUGCUGAAGUUCUCACAGCUCUGUAGUGGCACAGUCAGAACAAGGAUCCCAAUCUCCUAACUACUAACAUAAAAUGCUUUCAGCAUGCAAGUUGAGCAUACAAUGGGACAGUUUAAAUUUAAAUGGUGUUUUGAGCAAGGGGAGAGUCUAAUUAAUUACUUCAAAGUAUAAUUUUGGAGUCACCAGAAAGGCGUUAAAGACAAAAAAAUGCUUUGGAACCUAGGUGCUUCAUAUCUGAAAUUGGGGCAGGUACAGGUGUAUUCCUACCACUAAAGGGUCAUUAGUUGGUUGGGUAGUCCUUUAGUGUUCUUGGUACUAAGCACAAAACAUGGGUAAGAUGGUUCAAGGCUGGUUGUGGUGGCUCAUGCCUAUAGCCCCAGCAUUUUAGGAGGCCAAGGCUGGAGGAUAGCUUGAGCCCAGGAAUUCGAGACAAGCCUGGGCAAUAUCGCAAGACCUUGUCUCUACAAAUAAUAAUUUCUUAAGAAUUGGCUGGGCAUGGUGGCACACACCUGUAGGCUAUUUGAGAGGUUGAGGUGGGAGGAUUGCUUUAGUGUGGGAGGCUGAGGCUGCAAUGAGGUGAUCACACUAUGGUACUACAGCCUGAGAAACAGUGUAAGAUCCUGCCUCAAAAAAAAAAAGUUUAUGUUCUCAAAGUGCUCAUAAUCUAGUGGUAGUACAGUAUUUGAGAUAUUAGAGCAGUUUCUCCUCCUUUUGCAACUAAGGACAUGUAUCUUUAAAGCAGAAGGAAUGGCAGAGUCGUGUAAUAAACCCUCAAGUACCAUUACUUAGCUUCAACAACUAUCGACACUCUACUGUUCUUGUUUCAUUUAUGCCUCACCUCCUUCCCAUCCCCCACUUGAAUAUUCUCAUCCUUUUUUUUUACAGUUUUUAAGAUAACAAUUACAUAACUGAAAUGCACAAAUCUUAGCUGUACAGUUUUGACAUAUGGAUACACCUGUGUAACCAAUGACUGUAUCACAACAUAGAGCAUUUCAUCUCCCCAGCAAGAUCCAUGUGUCUUUUCCUAGUUAAUGCCUCUUUAUUUCUGAGAUGGUUAUUGCUCUGCUUUUGUUUUUCAUGUUAGGCUAGUCUUGCCUGUUCUAGAAUUUCAUAUAACUGAGAACAUACAGAAUGUACUCACUAGUAGUGUCUGACUUUUUCACAAAGGAUAAUGUCUGUGGUAUUCAUUCAUGCUGUUGUAUGCAUCAGUAGUUUAUUUUCUUUUUACUAUUAAGUAGUGUUCUAAGGACUAUUUUAAUAGCAUCCCACAAAGGGGGUAUGAUAUGUUCUAUUUACAUUAUUAUUUGGUUUGUAAUAUUUUAUAUUUUCUCUUGUGAUUUC
rnacentral:lncRNA from 1 species